UAGAGGUAGCUCUAGGAAGCAGUUGUAUUCAUUUCUCAUUUGAGCAACAGCCGCACAUAAUGCUAAUAGCAAAGGUAAAUUAUUCAACAAGCUUAAAUUUUAAAAUUACUAUAUUCUUUCAACAACUAGUAACCCAAAGGCUCUGAUGAUUAUAACAACUUUUCCAGCUAAAUGUAUAGACUGUGGGAGCAAGACAACCAAUCAACAGUCUGCCUUGGAGACAUUUAAAGAUUUCAAGAUGUGGAAGGAUCUCAACCUUGAAAAUAACCCUCCAGGGAUUGAUCCAGCAAGGCAAUUCACACAUUCUUCGCAAUAUUAGCAAAUGAAAGCUCUUCACAUAUAGGGACAUUUUUGAAGUUAUGGUUACCAGCCUGCUCCUAAUCAACCCUAUGAUAACAAAUUAGUAUGCACAUCCAAUGGAGGGAAAGUGCCACUACAGGACCUUGGUUGCAACAAUGGUCUAUACAGUCCCAGUAAUGUCACACCCUACUUACCACCUGAGAUGUCUGCAGGAACUAACAAGGAUUGUACCGGGGAAAGGAUUGGGCCCAGACUAGGAAGGAACCUAGUCUGUGAAAGAAGCUUAUUGGAACAUCUUUGAGGCCAGUUCUAUUUCCUGGAGGAUAAGAAUGGACUCCAAGAAUUCCUUCCAGGCUUCUGAUAUGUGUUACAAUGAAGCUCCAACAAGGGGCUGCUUGUUCCUACCACUUUCAGAGCAACAGGAC